rnacentral:rRNA from 1 species
GACGUAGGGCGCGAGCGUUGUUCGGAAUUACUGGGCGUAAAGCGCGCGCAGGCGGUUUUUCAAGUCAGUGGUGAAAGCCCGGAGCUCAACUCCGGAAAUGCCAUUGAAACUGUAAAACUUGAGGACGAGAGAGGUGAGUGGAAUUCCCAGUGUAGAGGUGAAAUUCGUAGAUAUUGGGAAGAACACCGGUGGCGAAGGCGGCUCACUGGCUCGUUUCUGACGCUCAGGCGCGAUAGCGUGGGGAUCAAACAGG